UUCUAGGGGUGGACCACCUGCAAAGCGGCUGUCCCAGGUGGCCGACACUGUCUUUCAAGUCCUGGGACACUCUGAGGUCAGUGUCACCGGGCUGCCAACAGGCAUUGACACGUCAAUGAUGCAGGCCCUUGAAAUGCAGCAAAGCAUGGAGCCAUCACAAGAACCGGGCCCAUCAAGUUUGCCGCCUGAACCAUCUGCAGCUGCUACUCAGGAUAGCCCGGCGGAUCAAACACCAUUCCCAUCCGCAGCACCUGCUCCGUCAGCAUCCCUGCAGGAGAGAAGAUUGCAACUCACAAUUGAUGUGUUUGAACAACAAAAAAAAGUCCUUUCCCUUCAGGAGGAGUACUACCGCCUUAAAAUUGAACACCUAAAAAAUAAACCAUUUAGAGAUUG